AGGGUUCAUUCGCAGCGCCAGGCCUCUGUUUUGUUCUUCACCCUACCGGUGUACAGCCAGGGAAAAUAUUGGUACAAUUUCGGUGGGAAUUAAAACAAUAAGCGUGUCGAGCUCCGAAUCAAUAUGGAACCAAGGACGGCGAACGAGAAGACGUACAAUUAAAAACGGUUGAGGAUGGAGAGCGGC